CCUACGGGAGGCAGCAGUGAGGAAUAUUGGUCAAUGGCCGGAAGGCUGAACCAGCCAUGCCGCGUGAAGGUCAGUGCCCUAUGGGCGUUAAACUUCUUUUGUGCGGGAGCAAUAAUGGUCACGUGUGGCCAGACGAGAGUACCGUACGAAUAAGCAUCGGCUAACACCGUGCCAGCAGCCGCGGUAAUACGGGGGAUGCAAGCGUUAUCCGGAUUUAUUGGGUUUAAAGGGUGCGUAGGCUGUGAGGUAAGUCAGCGGUGAAAUGCCCCCGCUCAACGGGGUGAAGUGCCAUUGAUACUGCCUGGCUGGAAUGCGGAUGCGGUGGGAGGAAUGUGUGGUGUAGCGGUGAAAUGCAUAGAUAUCACACAGAACACCGAUUGCGAAGGCAUCUCACGAAUCCGCGAUUGACGCUGAUGCACGAAAGCGUGGGUAUCAAACAGGAUUAGAUACCCUAGUAGUC
rnacentral:rRNA from 1 species